CUUGAUUCAGCGGCGGACGGGUGAGUAAUGCCUAGGAAUCUGCCUGGUAGUGGGGGACAACGUUUCGAAAGGAACGCUAAUACCGCAUACGUCCUACGGGAGAAAGCAGGGGACCUUCGGGCCUUGCGCUAUCAGAUGAGCCUAGGUCGGAUUAGCUAGUUGGUGGGGUAAUGGCUCACCAAGGCGACGAUCCGUAACUGGUCUGAGAGGGUGAUCAGUCACACUGGAACUGAGACACGGUCCAGACUCCUACGGGAGGCAGCAGUGGGGAAUAUUGGACAAUGGGCGAAAGCCUGAUCCAGCCAUGCCGCGUGUGUGAAGAAGGUCUUCGGAUUGUAAAGCACUUUAAGUUGGGAGGAAGGGCAGUAAGCUAAUACCUUGCUGUUUUGACGUUACCGACAGAAUAAGCACCGGCUAACUCUGUGCCAGCAGCCGCGGUAAUACAGAGGGUGCAAGCGUUAAUCGGAAUUACUGGGCGUAAAGCGCGCGUAGGUGGUUUGUUAAGUUGGAUGUGAAAGCCCCGGGCUCAACCUGGGAACUGCAUCCAAAACUGGCAAGCUAGAGUACGGUAGAGGGUGGUGGAAUUUCCUGUGUAGCGGUGAAAUGCGUAGAUAUAGGAAGGAACACCAGUGGCGAAGGCGACCACCUGGACUGAUACUGACACUGAGGUGCGAAAGCGUGGGGAGCAAACAGGGUUAGAUACCCUGGUAGUCCACGC
rnacentral:rRNA from 1 species